rnacentral:rRNA from 1 species
ACCGGCAGCUCAAGUGGUGGCCAUUUUUAUUGGGCCUAAAGCGUUCGUAGCCGGUUUGAUAAGUCUCUGGUGAAAUCCCGCAGCUUAACUGUGGGACUUGCUGGAGAUACUAUUAGACUUGAGGUCGGGAGAGGUUAGGGGUACUCCCAGGGGAGGGGUGAAAACCUAUAAGCCUAGGGUGAACACCGAAGGCGAAGGCGCCUAACUGGAACGAACCUGACGUUGGGUAACGAAAGCCAGUGUCGCGAAACG